AAUCAACGCUGGCGGCGUGCCUCAGACAUGCAAGUCGAACGAUUAAAGCUCUCUUCGGAGAGUGCAUAGAGUGGCGCACGGGUGAGUAACACGUAAGUAAUCUACCUUCGAGUGGGGAAUAACGUCCGGAAACGGACGCUAAUACCGCAUAACGCAGCGGCAUCGCAAGAUGACAGUUGUUAAAGAUUUAUCGCUUGAAGAGGAGCUUGCGGCAGAUUAGCUUGUUGGUAAGGUAACGGCUUACCAAC
rnacentral:rRNA from 1 species